rnacentral:lncRNA from 1 species
CUCUUGUACUUUCGAAAGUACGGAGACCUCGUACUUGUAAGUUGUUUUCGAUGAUAGAAAUCCGAUUCGACGAUCGGUUCCGUUAAGUAUAAUAUACCUUAUUGGAACUAUUUAGAAACCAAAUUUUAUAAUUUUUUGACAUCAUUUACCAAGCGAUCAAAAGAUCUCAAAAAUGACUAUUUUAACGGCCGAUGUUGCACGUUUUUAAAUUCAACGAUAUAGAAGUAUCCAAAUUAGAUAAAAAUUUAAUGGAAAAUUCUACUUAACAUCAAUGGCAAGACCAAUACUUCCGAUUUGAAAUUUGAGUUCUUUAUCACUAUUUUUUAUAAAACUUUUAUUUUCAGCCGUUCAUUUUGAGGCUAUUUGUUUACUAGACAAACGAAGUCAAAAAAUUAUGAAAUUUGAUUUUUAGGUAGUUCUAAUAACGUAGAUCAUGCCUAAUGGAACCGAUCGCCGAAUCAGAUAUCUCAUUAUUGAAAACAACUUAAAAGUAUGGAGAUUUUCGUACUUUCGAAAGUAUAGAAGCCUAGCUCUAUAUAUAUAUAUAUAUAUAUAUAUAUAUAUAAAAUAAACUGUGGUUGAGGAGACAUGUGUGUGUAUAUAUAUUGGGCUAGGUUUUUUUAAUGU